rnacentral:rRNA from 1 species
GCCUGUAUGAAGUUGGAAUCGCUAGUAAUCGCGGAUCAGCAUGCCGCGGUGAAUACGUUCCCGGGCCUUGUACACACCGCCCGUCACACCAUGAGAGUCGGGAACACCCGAAGUCCGUAGCCUAACCGCAAGGAGGGCGCGGCCGAAGGUGGGUUCGAUAAUUGGGGUGAAGUCGUAACAAGGUAAC